ANUGGGCAAGCCUGACGCAGCGACGCCGCGUGGGGGAUGAAGCUUUUCGGAGCGUAAACCCCUUUCGACCCGGAAGAAAGCCCGCAAGGGUCUGACGGUACGGGUAUAAGAAGCCCCGGCUAACUACGUGCCAGCAGCCGCGGUAAAACGUAGGGGGCCAGCGUUGCUCGGAAUUACUGGGCGUAAAGGGUCUGUAGGCGGUGCGGCAAGUCGGAAGUGAAAUUCCAGGGCUUAACUCUGGGGCUGCUUCCGAAACUGCUGUGCUCGAGUGUGAGAUAGGCGAGUGGAAUUGCAGGUGUAGCGGUGAAAUGCGUAGAUAUCUGCAGGAACAUCCGAGGCGAAAGCGGCUCGCUGGAUCACAACUGACGCUGAGAGACGAAAGCUAGGGGAGCAAACAGGAUUAGAUACCCUGGUAGUCCUAGCCCUAAACGAUCAGGACUUGGCGUGAGCCCUGUACGGGGCUCGUGCCGUAGCUAACGCGAUAAGUCCUGCGCCUGGGGAGUACGGUCGCAAGGCUGAAACUCAAAAAAAUUGACGGA
rnacentral:rRNA from 1 species